rnacentral:rRNA from 1 species
AUGAACGCUGGCGGCGUGCCUAAUACAUGCCAGUCGAGCGAACGGACGAGAAGCUUGCUUCUCUGAUGUUAGCGGCGGACGGGUGAGUAACACGUGGAUAACCUACCUAUAAGACUGGGAUAACUUCGGGAAACCGGAGCUAAUACCGGAUAAUAUUUUGAACCGCAUGGUUCAAAAGUGAAAGACGGUCUUGCUGUCACUUAUAGAUGGAUCCGCGCUGCAUUAGCUAGUUGGUAAGGUAACGGCUUACCAAGGCAACGAUGCAUAGCCGACCUGAGAGGGUGAGCGGGCACACUGGAACUGAGACACGGUCCAGACUCCUACGGGAGGCAGCAGUAGGGAAUCUUACGCAAUGGGCGAAAGCCUGAAGGAGCAACGCCGCGUGAGUGAUGAAGGUCUUCGGAUCGUAAAACUCUGUUAUUAGGGAAGAACAUAUGUGUAAGUAACUGUGCACAUCUUGACGGUACCUAAUCAGAAAGCCACGGCUAACUACGUG